AACAUGUAUGCUCACUCCUGCUGUCGACGCAGGGGAACCCGGUGCGAUUCCGGGACUGCCCCGCAGCGGUGUGCGGGCGCUCACACGAGCCGGGCCCGCAAGUCCGAGUACCUGCCGGCGGCGUGCGCCACGG
rnacentral:ncRNA from 1 species